GAUGAACGCUGGCGGCGUGCCUAAUACAUGCAAGUCGAGCGAACAGACGAGGAGCUUGCUCCUCUGACGUUAGCGGCGGACGGGUGAGUAACACGUGGAUAACCUACCUAUAAGACUGGGAUAACUUCGGGAAACCGGAGCUAAUACCGGAUAACAUGUUGAACCGCAUGGUUCAACAGUGAAAGACGGUUUUGCUGUCACUUAUAGAUGGAUCCGCGUCGCAUUAGCUAGUUGGUAAGGUAACGGCUUACCAAGGCGACGACGGGUAGCCGGCCUGAGAGGGCGACCGGCCACACUGGGACUGAGACACGGCCCAGACUCCUACGGGAGGCAGCAGUGGGGAAUAUUGCACAAUGGGCGAAAGCCUGAUGCAGCGACGCCGCGUGAGGGAUGACGGCCUUCGGGUUGUAAACCUCUUUCAGCAGGGAAGAAGCGAAAGUGACGGUACCUGCAGAAGAAGCACCGGCUAACUACGUG
rnacentral:rRNA from 1 species